GUCGAACGGGAAACAUUUCAUUGAGGCUUCGGCGGAUUUGAUCUGUUUCUAGUGGCGGACGGGUGAGUAACGCGUGGGUAACCUGCCUUAUACUGGGGGAUAACAGCCAGAAAUGGCUGCUAAUACCGCAUAAGCGCACAGAACCGCAUGGUUCGGUGUGAAAAACUCCGGUGGUAUAAGAUGGACCCGCGUUGGAUUAGCUAGUUGGCAGGGCAGCGGCCUACCAAGGCGACGAUCCAUAGCCGGCCUGAGAGGGUGAACGGCCACAUUGGGACUGAGACACGGCCCAGACUCCUACGGGAGGCAGCAGUGGGGAAUAUUGCACAAUGGGGGAAACCCUGAUGCAGCGACGCCGCGUGAAGGAAGAAGUAUCUCGGUAUGUAAACUUCUAUCAGCAGGGAAGAUAAUGACGGUACCUGACUAAGAAGCCCCGGCUAACUACGUGCCAGCAGCCGCGGUAAUACGUAGGGGGCAAGCGUUAUCCGGAUUUACUGGGUGUAAAGGGAGCGUAGACGGCGCAGCAAGUCUGGUGUGAAAGGCAGGGGCUUAACCCCUGGACUGCAUUGGAAACUGCUGUGCUUGAGUGCCGGAGGGGUAAGCGGAAUUCCUAGUGUAGCGGUGAAAUGCGUAGAUAUUAGGAGGAACACCAGUGGCGAAGGCGGCUUACUGGACGGUAACUGACGUUGAGGCUCGAAAGCGUGGGGAGCAAACAGG
rnacentral:rRNA from 1 species